rnacentral:rRNA from 1 species
ACUUAGCGCCGGCAGCUAACCUACCUUCCUGGAGGGAGUAGAGGUGCGUGAAUUCACUGUGUAGCGGUGAGAUGCGUAGAUAUCGGUAGGAACACACGUGCGAAAGAGGCGCACUGGACCAAUCCUGACGGUGGGUCGCGAAAGCUAGGGGAGCGAACAGGCUUAGAUACCUUGCUAGUCAUAGCCAUAAACGAUGAAUCCUGAGUGUGAUCGGUACCCAAUCCGAGUGUGUCGCAGCUAACGCGAUAUACAACCCGCGUGGGGAGUACGGUGGCAAGAGUGAAACUCAAAGGAGUUGACGGGGGCCCGCACACGCGGUGGAGCAUGUGUUUCAAUUUUACGCAACGCGAGAAACCCUACCCGGGCUCGAGAUGCAGGAGACCGGGUUAGAAAUAUCCUUUCCUUGCAAGAGGGUGCUGUAUAGGUGGUGCAUCGCUGUUGUCAUCUCGUGUCGUGAGAUGUUGGGUUAAGUCCUGCAACGAGCGCAACCCUCAUCCCUAGUUGCCACCGGGUAAUGGGGAGCACUCUAGUGAAACCGCCCCGGAUAACGGGGAGGAAGGUGGGGAUGACGUCAAGUCCUCAUGGCCUUUAUGUCCAGGGCUACACACGUGUUACAAUGGUCGGUACAAACCGUCGCAAAGCUGCAAAGUGGAGCUAAUCGGAAAAAACCGGCCUCAGUUCGGAUUGGAGUCUGCAACUCGACUCCAUGAAGCUGGAAUCGCUAGUAAUCGCAGAUCAGAACGGUGCGGUGAAUACGUUCCCGGGCCUUGUACACACCGCCCGUCACAUCACGAAAGUGGACUGCACUAGAAGCCGGUGCGCUAACCGCAAGGAAGCAGCCGUCCAAGGUAUGGUUCAUGAUUGGGGUGAAGUCGUAACAAGGUAACC